UACGUAGGGUGCGAGCGUUGUCCGGAAUUAUUGGGCGUAAAGAGCUCGUAGGCGGUUUGUCGCGUCGGCCGUGAAAUCUCCACGCUUAACGUGGAGCGUGCGGUCGAUACGGGCAGACUUGAGUUCGGUAGGGGAGACUGGAAUUCCUGGUGUAGCGGUGAAAUGACGCAGAUAUCAGGAGGAACACCGGUGGCGAAGGCGGGUCUCUGGGGCAGUAACUGACGCUGGAGGAGCGAAAAGCGUGGGGGAGC
rnacentral:rRNA from 1 species